GUCGGUGAAAAUGCAGAUUCACUUGGAAAAAAAAAAUACUCUAUGAAGCUUCAUUGUUUUCUAUUAUUGGCUUUAGGCUUUUCAUGGGUAGCUUAGUUGGAGGACAAAGAAGGACUCUUUUUGAGGGGUUAAAGCCAUCAAUGAGAUACACAUAGGAAGGGUUAGAAUUUUAACUUUAUGUCGAGCAGCGGGCCAAGGGACAAUCUUAGUAAGCAACUUCUAUUGGGCAUAGACCUCCCCAGAUGUAAUGAAGGUGUUCAAAGGCUUCCUCCAGCCAAACAAAGAUUGGUCCUCAAGUAUCUUAAUUACGAGAUCCACCCAUUAAGUAGGGUUGAAAAUCAACCUUAGUGAUCUCGUGUUGUCGAGUGGAAAAAUCAACACUUAGUGGGUAAAAGUUGCUUUAGGAAUAAAAAGUUGAUAUUUCUUUAUAGCUCACAUCAACAUAAAUUGUUUGACACAUCAAUGGCCACUCUUUGCCAAAUGAGGGAUUGUAGUAUUUUCAAGGGAUACCAUAUUCGCCCAUUAUAGCAAUACAUAAGUUGGAUUUUGAAUGUCGUGAGAUAAUUCAAACUAUAUUUGGU
rfam:Glycine soja cultivar W05 scaffold1660_34, whole genome shotgun sequence.